rnacentral:rRNA from 1 species
UACAGAGGGGGCAAGCGUUAUUCGGAAUUCUUGGGCGUAAAGGGCGCGUAGGCGGCCAAGCAAGUCAGGGGUGAAAUCCCUCGGCUCAACCGAGGAAUUGCCUCUGAAACUGCAUGGCUUGAGACCGGGAGAGGGUGGUGGAAUUCCCAGUGUAGCGGUGAGAUGCGUAGAUAUUGGGAGGAACACCGGUGGCGAAGGCGGCCACCUGGACCGGUUCUGACGCUGAGGCGCGAAAGUGUGGGGAGCAAACAGGAUUAGAUACCCUGGUAGUCCACACUGUAAACGAUGAGCACUCGGUGUUGUGGGUGUCGACCCCUACAGUGCCUUAGGAAACCCGUUAAGUGCUCCGCCUGGGGAGUACGGUCGCAAGGCUGAA